AUCUAGAUAACACACAAGAUCGUACAGUCUUUGUACUGACGACAUCUCUUUCAAACGCCUGACUUAUCAGCUGUCGAUGGUAGACUCUGUGUCUACCAUGGCCCUCACGGGUAACGGGGAAUCAGGGUUCGAUUCCGGAGAGGGAGCCUGAGAAACGGCUACCACAUCCAAGGAAGGCAGCAGGCACGCAAAUUACCCACUCCCGGCACGGGGAGGUAGUGACAAAAAAUAACGAUACGGGACUCUAUUGAGGCCCCGUAAUCGGAAUGAGUACACUUUAAAUCCUUUAACAAGGAUCCAUUGGAGGGCAAGUCUGGUGCCAGCAGCCGCGGUAAUUCCAGCUCCAAUAGCGUAUAUUAAAGUUGUUGCGGUUAAAAAGCUCGUAGUUGGUUCUGCGUGCCGCGCUGUCGGUUCGCCGCCUGUCGGUGUAACUGGCAUGUCGCGGCAUGUCCUGUCGGUGGUAAACGAGAUCCCCGGUACUUCGUUAUUGCUUAAUUGCUUUAGUGUUGUGCCGUGUUGUGAUAGCGUUUGCCGAUUUCUCCUACUCCGGUGCUCUUAAACGAGUGUCGAGGUAGGCCGACACAUUCACUUUGAACAAAUUAGAGUGCUUAAAGCAGGCUGAAAUAUCUGCCUGAAUAGUGGUGCAUGGAAUGAUAAAAUAGGACCUCGGUUCUAUUUUGUUGGUUUUAGGAAUAUGAGGUAAUGAUCAAUGUGGACUGGCGGGGGCAUUCGUA
rnacentral:rRNA from 1 species